rnacentral:rRNA from 1 species
GAUGAACGCUGGCGGCGUGCCUAAUACAUGCAAGUCGAGCGAACAGACGAGGGGCUUGCUCCUCUGACGUUAGCGGCGGACGGGUGAGUAACACGUGGAUAACCUACCUAUAAGACUGGGAUAACUUCGGGAAACCGGAGCUAAUACCGGAUAAUAUAUUGAACCGCAUGGUUCAAUAGUGAAAGACGGUUUUGCUGUCACUUAUAGAUGGAUCCGCGCCGCAUUAGCUAGUUGGUAAGGUAACGGCUUACCAAGGCGACGAUGCGUAGCCGACCUGAGAGGGGGAUCGGCCACACUGGAACUGAGACACGGUCCAGACUCCUACGGGAGGCGGCAGUAGGGAAUCUUCCGCAAUGGGCGAAAGCCUGACGGAGCAACGCCGCGUGAGUGAUGAAGGUCUUCGGAUCGUAAAACUCUGUUAUUAGGGAAGAACAAAUGUGUAAGUAACUAUGCACGUCUUGACGGUACCUAAUCAGAAAGCCACGGCUAACUACGUG